AUUUCCGCAGUUUCUAGCGACGACCUAUUUGGUGGGCUGUAUGAUGAUUAGACUGAUUCUGGUGAGAAUUAACCACCGUGAUUAAAAGAAACGUCAUUUACUCCACAAAUCGUCGAAAAUAAUCGAUGAAAUAUAAUGCAAUUUCAGUAGAAUUAAUGGUCUACUCUAACGCAAUCUUAGGAACCGUUACCAAGAAACAAAUAAACAUUUCAAGGCAGUAAUGAUAUUGAACAAGAUUUCUUCAACAUCGGCGCUGGAUAGGAUAGAAUUGGCUUCGCAGAGUAACGAUUUAUCGGCGUUCUAAUAUCAUUAAUUUCUUUGUUAGGUUUCUGACUAAAAGGACAACUAAUCAAUUUCCAAUAAUGCAGUCUGUAAACCAUUGGUGAAUACAAGUCUUUGUCCACUAGUCAAUUGCCAAUUGAAUGGAUCAAUGUGAAGCUCUUUCUACGCAAUUACGACAAAAUGGCCAACACUGAUUUGAGUGCGCUGGACAAGGAGAGAGGGCAUUUUAUAUUAUCAUCAAUAUUCACGUCACAACAUAUUUCCUGAAGAGGACACAGACGUGCGGAACAUCCGGCAAUAUUGAAUGGCCGACAUGUUUUAUGUCUCUGAUUGCAGUGCAGAUACACCGAAGGCUUUUUUUUCCUCCCAUGAAAAUAUGAUUAUUUAAUCAGCGUCGCAUUUUGCGGUUUAAAAAAUGUCGACUGCGGAUGUUACGAUGUAAUCCGUGUAUGCCAUUACUUCAAGUUUUGUAAAUUUAUUCUCAUCUGAGUUCAUCAUAGAAAACAGAGAAUAUUAAGCUCAAAGGAUUUCAAUAAAACGUACAAUAUUGAUGUCAUCUAUUGGAGGAGUACAUGAGCGGGGAUAAUGACGCCGAUCCAUUUGUGGUUGUCCUCAAAUACGUAAUAAGUCUUACACUGUGGAUGAACACGGCGCCUCCAUUCCAUAAACAUUUCAAAUUCGAUAAAAUAUUUGUCCCCGAUAAACUUUUUUCAGAACCCAUAUGUAUUAACCUUUUUAUUUUAUUUUCGUUGUAAUACA
rnacentral:sRNA from 1 species